rnacentral:rRNA from 1 species
GGUUAAGCGACUAAGCGUACACGGUGGAUGCCCUGGCAGUCAGAGGCGAUGAAGGACGUGCUAAUCUGCGAUAAGCGUCGGUAAGGUGAUAUGAACCGUUAUAACCGGCGAUUUCCGAAUGGGGAAACCCAGUGUGUUUCGACACACUAUCAUUAACUGAAUCCAUAGGUUAAUGAGGCGAACCGGGGGAACUGAAACAUCUAAGUACCCCGAGGAAAAGAAAUCAACCGAGAUUCCCCCAGUAGCGGCGAGCGAACGGGGAGCAGCCCAGAGCCUGAAUCAGUGUGUGUGUUAGUGGAAGCGUCUGGAAAGGCGCGCGAUACAGGGUGACAGCCCCGUACACAAAAAUGCACAUACUGUGAGCUCGAUGAGUAGGGCGGGACACGUGGUAUCCUGUCUGAAUAUGGGGGGACCAUCCUCCAAGGCUAAAUACUCCUGACUGACCGAUAGUGAACCAGUACCGUGAGGGAAAGGCGAAAAGAACCCCGGCGAGGGGAGUGAAAAAGAACCUGAAACCGUGUACGUACAAGCAGUGGGAGCACGCUUCGGCGUGUGACUGCGUACCUUUUGUAUAAUGGGUCAGCGACUUAUAUUCUGUAGCAAGGUUAACCGAAUAGGGGAGCCGAAGGGAAACCGAGUCUUAACUGGGCGUUAAGUUGCAGGGUAUAGACCCGAAACCCGGUGAUCUAGCCAUGGGCAGGUUGAAGGUUGGGUAACACUAACUGGAGGACCGAACCGACUAAUGUUGAAAAAUUAGCGGAUGACUUGUGGCUGGGGGUGAAAGGCCAAUCAAACCGGGAGAUAGCUGGUUCUCCCCGAAAGCUAUUUAGGUAGCGCCUCGUGAAUUCAUCUCCGGGGGUAGAGCACUGUUUCGGCAAGGGGGUCAUCCCGACUUACCAACCCGAUGCAAACUGCGAAUACCGGAGAAUGUUAUCACGGGAGACACACGGCGGGUGCUAACGUCCGUCGUGAAGAGGGAAACAACCCAGACCGCCAGCUAAGGUCCCAAAGUCAUGGUUAAGUGGGAAACGAUGUGGGAAGGCCCAGACAGCCAGGAUGUUGGCUUAGAAGCAGCCAUCAUUUAAAGAAAGCGUAAUAGCUCACUGGUCGAGUCGGCCUGCGCGGAAGAUGUAACGGGGCUAAACCAUGCACCGAAGCUGCGGCAGCGACACUAUGUGUUGUUGGGUAGGGGAGCGUUCUGUAAGCCUGUGAAGGUGUACUGUGAGGUAUGCUGGAGGUAUCAGAAGUGCGAAUGCUGACAUAAGUAACGAUAAAGCGGGUGAAAAGCCCGCUCGCCGGAAGACCAAGGGUUCCUGUCCAACGUUAAUCGGGGCAGGGUGAGUCGACCCCUAAGGCGAGGCCGAAAGGCGUAGUCGAUGGGAAACAGGUUAAUAUUCCUGUACUUGGUGUUACUGCGAAGGGGGGACGGAGAAGGCUAUGUUGGCCGGGCGACGGUUGUCCCGGUUUAAGCGUGUAGGCUGGUUUUCCAGGCAAAUCCGGAAAAUCAAGGCUGAGGCGUGAUGACGAGGCACUACGGUGCUGAAGCAACAAAUGCCCUGCUUCCAGGAAAAGCCUCUAAGCAUCAGGUAACAUCAAAUCGUACCCCAAACCGACACAGGUGGUCAGGUAGAGAAUACCAAGGCGCUUGAGAGAACUCGGGUGAAGGAACUAGGCAAAAUGGUGCCGUAACUUCGGGAGAAGGCACGCUGAUAUGUAGGUGAAGUCCCUCGCGGAUGGAGCUGAAAUCAGUCGAAGAUACCAGCUGGCUGCAACUGUUUAUUAAAAACACAGCACUGUGCAAACACGAAAGUGGACGUAUACGGUGUGACGCCUGCCCGGUGCCGGAAGGUUAAUUGAUGGGGUUAGCGGUAACGCGAAGCUCUUGAUCGAAGCCCCGGUAAACGGCGGCCGUAACUAUAACGGUCCUAAGGUAGCGAAAUUCCUUGUCGGGUAAGUUCCGACCUGCACGAAUGGCGUAAUGAUGGCCAGGCUGUCUCCACCCGAGACUCAGUGAAAUUGAACUCGCUGUGAAGAUGCAGUGUACCCGCGGCAAGACGGAAAGACCCCGUGAACCUUUACUAUAGCUUGACACUGAACAUUGAGCCUUGAUGUGUAGGAUAGGUGGGAGGCUUUGAAGUGUGGACGCCAGUCUGCAUGGAGCCGACCUUGAAAUACCACCCUUUAAUGUUUGAUGUUCUAACGUUGACCCGUAAUCCGGGUUGCGGACAGUGUCUGGUGGGUAGUUUGACUGGGGCGGUCUCCUCCUAAAGAGUAACGGAGGAGCACGAAGGUUGGCUAAUCCUGGUCGGACAUCAGGAGGUUAGUGCAAUGGCAUAAGCCAGCUUGACUGCGAGCGUGACGGCGCGAGCAGGUGCGAAAGCAGGUCAUAGUGAUCCGGUGGUUCUGAAUGGAAGGGCCAUCGCUCAACGGAUAAAAGGUACUCCGGGGAUAACAGGCUGAUACCGCCCAAGAGUUCAUAUCGACGGCGGUGUUUGGCACCUCGAUGUCGGCUCAUCACAUCCUGGGGCUGAAGUAGGUCCCAAGGGUAUGGCUGUUCGCCAUUUAAAGUGGUACGCGAGCUGGGUUUAGAACGUCGUGAGACAGUUCGGUCCCUAUCUGCCGUGGGCGCUGGAGAACUGAGGGGGGCUGCUCCUAGUACGAGAGGACCGGAGUGGACGCAUCACUGGUGUUCGGGUUGUCAUGCCAAUGGCACUGCCCGGUAGCUAAAUGCGGAAGAGAUAAGUGCUGAAAGCAUCUAAGCACGAAACUUGCCCCGAGAUGAGUUCUCCCUGACUCCUUGAGAGUCCUGAAGGAACGUUGAAGACGACGACGUUGAUAGGCCGGGUGUGUAAGCGCAGCGAUGCGUUGAGCUAACCGGUACUAAUGAACCGUGAGGCUUAACCUU